ensembl:lncRNA
CGCUAAAAGUGGAGUUCUUUCUUUGGACAACUUAUCCUUUUUUCUUUUUUCUCUGCACGCCCCACAGUUUACUCUUAUCCCGACCUUCUCAGAGUCCUUCUUUCGCCUCCUAAUGCUAAUAAAGCCACUCGGUUAGUGAAGGUAACCCGCCUCUCUUGAGUACACAGCUCACACUGUUCCGUCGCGUCAAAGUCAUUCACACGCAACAUGCGAGCAAAGAGGAGACCGGAUGGGUUGAUUAUUGCUGCUCAAAGGUCUCACCGCUUCCCCGUGUGUGUCCCAUUUAUCCGUCUCUGUCUCCAACUAGUUGUUCAAUCAGCUUCGUUUGCACGCAUACAUACUAGUGAAAACAGUGUGUAGUCCUUUAAAAAAGCCACCUGUGGACCUCCGGCACCCAGAGCCGCCCUCCCCUGUCUGCUGGGGGUUAAUGGCUCUGCGUUUUAACUCGAGGGGGGGGGUUGAUUGCUGCUUUUUCCCCGUGCAGCCGAUUGCCCCUCGCUGCCUGAACAAACAUUUAAGCGUAGAAUCAUCUGGAGAGACAAGGAGCAAUCAGAUGAUCGUCUGAAGAUUCCUUGAUGUGGUGGGAAGGUCUGCACCUCAUGUCGCCGCCAAAAGCACAAUAAAUGCUUCUGUUAUUGUUACUUACAAGGCCAGUACAUUUCAUUGGUAUUGUAAAUUGAAGUAAUUGUACUUACUGUAGAUUUAAUUCUCAUUCACAAUAAAGAACAAUAUCUACCACUUAUUUGCUCAUGAGUGUUCGUUUCCAUUAGACAAAAGGCCCUGUUUUACAAUUCAAGUUAUUGUGAUCUGGAAAGCUGGAAGAAAAACAAAAUUAAAUUCAGCACUUUUACAUUUCCUGGUCUUUAAAUGGCUCAGUUGUUGGAACACAAUCCCAACGCGAGUGAAAAGGUCCGAGCAAAAAAAAAAAAGAGGCACCGACUGAGCUUCUCAAAGGGACCAACAGCGCACAAUAUCACAGAGUCUAACUUUAUCCAAUGAUAAGACGGCUGCUUCAAAGACCAGCCGAGAGGUGCGGGGGGCGGGGGGGGCUUUGCAACCUGCAGAUGACCUUGUUUGUUGUGCUGCAGAGUUCAGGGGUCAGUUUGUGUGAGGAAAUAAAUAAGCGAAACGUUUUUUUUGAUAGCCAUUGACUCGCAGUGCGCGAUGUAAUGCGUACAGCUCACCCUAAAAGCCUUCACAGCGCCUCCGUCACGCUGGCGGAUAGCUUUUAAAUUUGUGAGCAACUUUGCUUGCCUAAGCGGCGCACGCGUCUGCUGCAACACGACUGUCAAUGCAAUUCAUGCCCACCGCCUUAAAUGGAGCUACUUCAUUUUUUAAUCAGUAAAUCAGUUGAAUAAACAGAUUGUCAGUGAGCGGGUGAAGAUAGCACGGCGUUACCAUGGCGACUGCCUCCAAACUUGGAGCAAGCAUACUAGCAUCUACUUAUAAAAAUGUGCCAGUAUUCACACCAUCGGCGGGCCACAGUGUACCAUAACACUCAUAUUGGAGAGCGUCGCUGGAUACUUCACAUAGUGUUCAUUGACACUAUCCGAGACUCCCAAUGUGAUGCAAAGUAUUCAAAGAGACGCAUUCCUACAGAGUCAUCUAAAUGAAGUCUUGUGGAGGGCAAAGUGCAAGAGCUUCGCACAAGGGACCUUGGAUUAAAAAAGCAGCAUGAUAAAUUGAUGAAGUCUCACAGUUUGCGUCGCCGAGUCACUCUGCGUUUCUUGGUUUUGCGGCUGAUGAAACAACGCAGCCGUUUGGAAAAAGAAAGCGUCCAUUACGGGAGGAGAUUGAUUGCAGAGCAACAAAGCGAGGCAGAGCGCUGGUGUUUCAAAACAAUAACUGGACUGAGCCACAUCAACUGGAAAGAAAUCACUAAAUCUGGUUGAGCCCAGAGCAAUGAAGAAAGUGGUGGACUGUGCCAAGAGCCGAGAGCGCCGCUACCAAAUGCUACAGAUCAUGAGUCCGGACGCCAGACCUUUCUUGGCAGCUCACCAGCUGCUUACGGCAGAGAAUCAGAAACAAAUCAAUAUAUACCUGGAUCGCUGCCACGCUGAACGCUGGUGUCUCUGAACAACAGCCAGACGGACAACAUCUCCCGUUAUUUCUCCCAAAAGCCGACGAAAUCACAGGUACUUAAAAAAAAAACAAAAAAAAAACCUGAUUGUCAUCCAGGUGGACAGCUGGCAUCAAUCUGACGCUCCACCUGUUGCCUCUUGUCUCAAACCCCUCCGCUGCUCAUUAAACGCCCGCUGAUCGCCCGCUGUGACACCAGAGGCGCGGAGAGGAAACCCAUCCGGGGAGCCGGAUCUUCAUUCGUCUGUGAGGUGUUAUUUCCUCAAAAAUGUGGAGAUUUUUGAUUUUUUCCAAGUGAGCCCCGGAGUCAGUGUGAAGCUGUGAAACAGAAAAUGUCCUGUGCACGACGGCCACGAGGACGAGGGUGGAGGGAGAAGGAAUUCACCACAGUGAAUCAAGGAGAGACCGUCUGCAAAACGAAGAUCUGGAACGACCCUUUUGAAGGAGUCUGGGACAGACCCAAGAACAUGUCUCAGCAGAAGACUGUCCACUCGACGUCUUCCUACAUAGUCCAGAAAGGCGGCUCGAGUCUGUCAAACUCAGUAUUGAUCCGAGAAAUGAAGCAGGGACCCUUAAAGCCAAAUCACAACCAUCAACCAUCUUUUGCUCAGCGAUUAUUCACAGUAACUAAACCCACGGUGGCAAUUUCAGCAAAUGGAUUUCCGCCCCAUUGUGAGUUGACUCUGCCGCAGCAAAACAAGUUUUCACACAACAACGUGAGCAAACAGAAAGUAGAGGCGCUCGAGCGGCACCACAGAAAAUUGAUUGACUUAUUUUUCAUUUGAUAUCGCAGAGCGCAAAGAAAUCUGAGCCAAACGUCCACCUCAUUCAGGAUAGAAUAAGUAGCCCGUUCAAUUAAGGCCUCUGCAUGACAACAACACAAGGUACUCCAGGAUACUCACAUAAAGAACCUGCUUCCAAGUUCUACUCGUCCCUCAACGGAAAAGGAAAGAAAAACACGGCCAAUACGUUUGUCUUGGAAGGAUCGAUAAAAUAUUUUGUGACCAGGACGCGUGCGUCUGUGUGCGUGGGCGGCCGCGGCUGAGGCUAAUGAAUGUGUGUGUGUGUGUGUGUGUGUGUGUGUGUGUGUCAAUGGAAGGAGGAAAUGACUCCACAGGUGAGUUAAGAGAAGCCGCCACGCGAGCGAAUCCGUCUACCAGGACGUCACAGCGGGAAAACAAGCGAUCAUCACUCUGCUUUUUUAUUUUCAUUCCGAGUGAAUAAUUGGAACAUUGCUAAUCAAAUGGUUGACUGAUUGUCACUGAUGUGCCAAAUGGAAAAUCAUUUCACAUCGACCACAUAAGCGAGUGAGAAGACUGAUAAGCCUGCG